UGAGAAGGGAGAGAAAUGAGGGAGCGUCUCCUUCUCAGGUUCAACCUGGUGGAUUCAGAGGGCAACAAACUGAUCAACCAGUCUUUCUUCACCUGUGUACCUGUCCUUCUACAUCAGUGUAGUAGGUUCAUCACUAAGACAGGGGUGAGAUUGUGCACGCCCCAUCCCACAAAGAGCAAGUGGGUGGCAGACUACAUCAAACGUCUGGAGCGAACCAUCUCCCUCCGAAUAGCUGAUACACCUCAGCAGUAAAUGAGGAUGCAAACAGCAGAGUGAGACCAGAAGAGGAAUGAAGGAGAGGAUUGGAGAAGAGGAAUGGAGGAUGUUAUUCGAUGAGGACAACUGAAGACGAUACACAAUUGUCCUGUCUUCGGCCACAUUCAUUUCAACCUUUUUUUUAAAAACAGAUACUGUAGUAGACUAUUUGUGAGCAGUUCAUGAUGUAAAUGUAUAGUACAGCAAAAAGAAUAUAAAAAAAUACAUCAAACUGGAUUGAAAAAUAGGAUAUUCAUGUAGUAAAAUGUGUUUAUAUGGUUCGGUGGUUUUUGAUUGUGAUGAGUAAAUAUGGACCACACAACUGAUAGAUUUUCCCAAUGCCUGAUGUGAAUAUCCACAUUUGUUUUUGGUGCUAUUGACAUUUUAAACCUAACUCUGUCUGUGAAUGCUAGCUCUCAUGAAAAAGUACAAAUUACUGUUUCAAUAAAAGAUGAAGUAAAAAAUAAAAAAUAAACUUUUGUCUGAGC